ACCCGGCUGACGAGCCCCAAGCAGGACGAAACGCACGUCCUGGAU
rfam:Schistosoma curassoni strain Dakar, Senegal genome assembly, scaffold: SCTD_scaffold0002657